rnacentral:rRNA from 1 species
CCUACGGGAGGCAGCAGUGGGGAAUAUUGCACAAUGGGGGGAACCCUGAUGCAGCGACGCCGCGUGAGUGAAGAAGUAUCUCGGUACGUAAAGCUCUAUCAGCAGGGAAGAAAAUGACGGUACCUGACUAAGAAGCCCCGGCUAACUACGUGCCAGCAGCCGCGGUAAUACGUAGGGGGCAAGCGUUAUCCGGAUUUACUGGGUGUAAAGGGAGCGUAGACGGCACUGCAAGUCCGGAGUGAAAGCCCAAGGCUUAACCAUGGGACUGCCCUGGAAACUGGGGAGCUGGAGUGCGGGGGGGGCAGGCGGAAUUCCUGGUGUAGCGGUGAAAUGCGUAGAUAUUAGGAGGAACACCGGCGGCGAAGGCGGCCUGCUGGACCGUAACUGACGUUGAGGCUCGAAAGCGUGGGGAGCAAACAGGAUUAGAUACCCGAGUAGUC